UGGGGAAUAUUGCACAAUGGGCGCAAGCCUGAUGCAGCCAUGCCGCGUGUGUGAAGAAGGCCUUCGGGUUGUAAAGCACUUUCAGCGGGGAGGAAGGCGAUAAGGUUAAUAACCUUGUCGAUUGACGUUACCCGCAGAAGAAGCACCGUCUAACUCCGUGCCAGCAGCCGCGGUAAUACGGAGGGUGCAAGCGUUAAUCGGAAUUACUGGGCGUAAAGCGCACGCAGGCGGUCUGUCAAGUCGGAUGUGAAAUCCCCGGGCUCAACCUGGGAACUGCAUUCGAAACUGGCAGGCUAGAGUCUUGUAGAGGGGGGUAGAAUUCCAGGUGUAGCGGUGAAAUGCGUAGAGAUCUGGAGGAAUACCGGUGGCGAAGGCGGCCCCCUGGACGAAGACUGACGCUCAGGUGCGAAAGCGUGGGGAGCAAACAGG
rnacentral:rRNA from 1 species